CUACGUGCCAGCAGCCGCGGUAAUACGGAAGGUCCAGGCGUUAUCCGGAUUUAUUGGGUUUAAAGGGAGCGUAGGCGGAUUGUUAAGUCAGCGGUUAAAGGGUGUGGCUCAACCAUACAUUGCCGUUGAAACUGGCGAUCUUGAGUGCAGACAGGGAUGCCGGAAUUCGUGGUGUAGCGGUGAAAUGCUUAGAUAUCACGAAGAACUCCGAUCGCGAAGGCAGGUGUCCGGGCUGCAACUGACGCUGAGGCUCGAAAGUGUGGGUAUCAAACAGGAUUAGAUACCCUGGUAGUCCACACAGUAAACGAUGUAUACUCGCGGUUUGCGAUAGACAGUAAGCCGCCAAGCGAAAGCAUUAAGUAUACCACCUGGGGAGUACGCCGGCAACGGUGAAACUCAAAGGAAUUGACGGGGGCCCGCACAAGCGGAGGAACAUGUGGUUUAAUUCGAUGAUACGCGAGGAACCUUACCCGGGCUUGAAC
rnacentral:rRNA from 1 species